GAUGAACGCUGGCGGCGUGCCUAAUACAUGCAAGUCGAGCGAACAGAUGAGGAGCUUGCUCCUCUGACGUUAGCGGCGGACGGGUGAGUAACACGUGGAUAACCUACCUAUAAGACUGGGAUAACUUCGGGAAACCGGAGCUAAUACCGGAUAAUAUAUUGAACCGCAUGGUUCAAUAGUGAAAGACGGUUUUGCUGUCACUUAUAGAUGGAUCCGCGCCGCAUUAGCUAGUUGGUAAGGUAACGUCUUACCAAGGCAACGAUGCGUAGCCGACCUGAGAGGGUGAUCGGCCACACUGGAACUGAGACACGGUCCAGACUCCUACGGGAGGCAGCAGUAGGGAAUCUUCCGCAAUGGGCGAAAGCCUGACGGAGCAACGCCGCGUGAGUGAUGAAGGUCUUCGGAUCGUAAAACUCUGUUAUUAGGGAAGAACAAAUGUGUAAGUAACUAUGCACGUCUUGACGGUACCUAAUCAGAAAGCCACGGCUAACUACGUG
rnacentral:rRNA from 1 species